UGGCUCAGGACGAACGCUGGCGGCGUGCCUAAUACAUGCAAGUCGAACGAAGCUUUCUUUCACCGAAUGCUUGCAUUCACCGAAAGAAGCUUAGUGGCGAACGGGUGAGUAACACGUAGGCAACCUGCCCAAAAGAGGGGGAUAACACUUGGAAACAGGUGCUAAUACCGCAUAACCAUGAACACCGCAUGAUGUUCAUGUAAAAGACGGCUUUUGCUGUCACUUUUGGAUGGGCCUGCGGCGUAUUAACUUGUUGGUGGGGUAACGGCCUACCAAGGUGAUGAUACGUAGCCGAACUGAGAGGUUGAUCGGCCACAUUGGGACUGAGACACGGCCCAAACUCCUACGGGAGGCAGCAGUAGGGAAUCUUCCACAAUGGACGAAAGUCUGAUGGAGCAACGCCGCGUGAAUGAAGAAGGCCUUCGGGUCGUAAAAUUCUGUUGUCAGAGAAGAACGUGCGUGAGAGUAACUGUUCACGUAUUGACGGUAUCUGACCAGAAAGCCACGGCUAACUACGUGCCAGCAGCCGCGGUAAUACGUAGGUGGCAGCGUUGUCCGGAUUUAUCGGGCGUAAAGGGAACGCAGGCGA
rnacentral:rRNA from 1 species